CCCAAUCAAGAGGCUUCCUGUACAUACGUGAGUGGCUCCAGUCCACACACAGAGCUCAUCUAGCAUGCGCCAUUAAAGUGAACCAGGAUGCUGACACGUGGAGGACUUCUGAGUGCACAGAGCCAACAUUUCCACAUCACAAAUCGAUGCAGGACAGAUUCUAGAAUGCCACCAGAAUAUUUUGGUGAAGAAUCAGAGGUCCUAUGUCCCCAAUAAGUAUCGAAAGCUGCACUGGAGUCUGCAAAGACAGCAUGAAGACCAGACUUUGUAAUAAUGGUGAAUUUGUCUGCACUGUCAAACAAGCAGAAGGCAAUUGUCUGACACAACACAAUCAGAUUCAAAGCCUGCCUUUUGUCUGGGCGGGGCGUGUCCUGACCUGCCCCAGUCUUCCAAUUUUAAAA